rnacentral:rRNA from 1 species
AUCGAUAACCCACGAUAANUUUCACUUUUACUAUAAAUUUAUAUACCGCCAUCUUAAGAAUUAAUUUAAAAAUAUUUCUCUUAAAAAUAAAUAAAAAGUUAGGUCAAGGUGUAAUUCACAUAAAAGAAUGAGAUGAAUUACUUUAAAUAAAAUUUAAGGAUUAUAAAUAUAUAUAUUUAUAUAAAUUAGAAUUUAAGAGUAAUAUUUAAAUAAUAUUACAAUAUGAAAUAAAUAAAAAAUGUGCACACAUCGCCC